UUGCCUACGGGAGGCAGCAGUGGGGAAUAUUGGACAAUGGGGGGAACCCUGAUCCAGCGACGCCGCGUGAGUGAAGAAGUAUUUCGGUAUGUAAAGCUCUAUCAGCAGGGAAGAAAAUGACGGUACCUGACUAAGAAGCCCCGGCUAACUACGUGCCAGCAGCCGCGGUAAUACGUUGGGGGCAAGCGUUAUCCGGAUUUAUUGGGUUUAAAGGGUGCGCAGGCGGCACGGCAAGCCGGCGGUCAAAUCGCGGGGCUCAACCCCGCCCAGCCGUCGGAACUGCCGGGCUAGAGUGGGCGAGAAGG
rnacentral:rRNA from 1 species